rnacentral:lncRNA from 1 species
AGCGACCUCUCCCUUGCACCUGCAACACCAGCCCUCUUUCUCGCUCUUUAAUUUGGAGCCCUGAAACCCUCUGCAAAACUCAUGUUAAAACCUUUGCCAAAACAGCAAAAACCAACAACACAGUUGUGUACCCAACUUUGUCAGUCUGCAACUCAGGCAAGGACAUUUAUGAGCUGCAACCAACGAUGUGAUAUUUCUCAGGAAUCAAAGGUCUUGAUCUUGCAAGCUCAAGACCCCUCAUGCCCUCAUUCUCGCCUAUAAAAAGCCCCUCAAAGACACAUACUAGACAGUAACAAGGCAGAAAUAGAAGUAGAAAACAAAUGCUAAAAGGAUAGAGAGGAUAAAGAGGAAGAGAGGGAAGGCUAGAAAGAUAGAAAAGAACAAGGAGAUUGAAAGAAACGAUAAGAAAGGAACAAAAAGGAGAGAAGAAGGAAGAAAUAACACACUCGGGUCAUGGCAACCAAGGUAGAGCUCUACCAGAGUCCUUUUAGCUUUUUCUUGAGAUGAUUGCAGGCUUCAAAAGAAGGCUUACAAGGGUUUAAAAGCAUUAUAACACCACCAUAGAAGUUUCAGGUGAGGGCUAAUCUUGGUUUGGACAGAAAGGUUAAAAACACGACUACAGUAGCUAGCUAUCAGGGUUUAUAUUCGGGUUUUUGGUUUGAUUCUUUGAGUUCAAAUGGUCUUGGGACAAUGGCGAGUGCUACAAGAAUUAGCAACGACCUCAAGGAGAUAGCUUGUAUACCUCCUAAAGAAACCGUGGAAGCUUUUUUUAUUUCUUGGAAAAAUUUCACAGGAGCGCCAGUAGCAACACUCUUUUAGGUAAGCUCAAUCAUCCCGUAUUUGCUUGAUAAUCAAUCCUUCUAUUUGAUUGUUUUGGGUUUUUGUUGUUUGUGGUUUUAACCUCAAGUAACCAGUUUUGAUUAUGAUGACAUGCGAAGUGAUGAUCUUUCAACAUGAACAUGGUUUGCUAGCAUGAUGUGUGGCUUUAUACUUUGUUCUUAUUUUACUAUUCUUGGUUAAUGCUUGAUGAUAAUAUGGGUAAAAGACCUAGUUUGAUUCUGAAAAUCAUGAAAAAAAUGAGUUUUCUUAACUAUGUUGGUGUGAAUAACAUGAAAAUGAUGUGCUUUAUGUGUUUGGUUCGAUCUAGGUCAUUAGGUUUAGAAGUGAGAGCUUUUCCAUGUUCUUAUUAUUGCUGUAAGUGCAUUAGGGUUUAACCAUGGUCCCAUAAUUCUUUUGGCAACAUUUUUAGGGUUCUUGGAUGUUGGUAAUUUAUAUUUCUUCAAGCAUGAAAUGUUUUUGUUUAGGGUCCUUGGAACAUGUGGCUAGGGUUUGUAGUUGGUUUGUAUUUGUUAAAGAAGUGAAUUAAGUUUGGUUAUUUAGAAACCAAUAAUCAUCAAAGGUGAGUUCUUUCUCAAAGAAUUUUAGGUUAAAGGUUGAAAGAUGUUUCCUUUAAAUACAAAGAAUGCUUGUUUAGAUUGUAAGAGCACGUGGGAAAUAGUUUCUUUUAGAUAAUGGUUAGGUGUGAAGUGUUAAAUACCAUUGAAGCCCAAACAUAUUUUUUUAUGAGACAUCAUGCUUAAAUUAAUUAUUGAUGGAUAAAAUAGAAUAAAAACUAAUUUUAAAAACAGACCUAAAAAAAAUUAAAAAAAAUAAUUGAAAAAAAAACAAGAUCCAAAACAAAAGAAAUAAAUAUUAAAAGAAUGAAGAUUAAAAUAAUGAAGAUUAAAAUUGAUAUAAAAAUAAUUCAAAAUCAAAUGCUAAGAGAUGAAAUUAAAAAUAAAAUUCAAUUACAAAAAGGAUUAAAAAAACAAACAACAAUCAAAUCGAAUGAGGAUCAAAUCUGAUAUAAAAAUUAAAUGAAACCAAAUGAUAAAGAGAAAAAUUAAAGAAAAGAAAUCAAACUAAAAUAAAUAAAAAAAAUAACAAUAAAAAAAAUGAUGAACAAAUUGAAAACAAAAAAUAAAUUAAAUGACACUUUUAUAUUUCAACAAGGGGAAGAGAGAGAAAAAAGAGAUGAGAAAAAAAAAGACCACUAGAGUCUAACCACCACGUCAUUGUACACACGCGCGACUCUAUUAGAAAAAUAACAGUAAGGCGCUUCCAACACCAUCCUUGAAAGCAGAAUUUGGAGGUGGAACGACAUUCCAUGUGUCAUUUGGGGUAUGGUUGUCACUCACUUGUUAGAGCAUACGAGCAACCUUUUUAAAUGUUAUAUUUUAUUAAUCGAAAGACGAAAUCACCUCCUGCCAACUUGUUUAUUAUAAAAACAAAAACCAUCAUGAAAGACAAAAAAGUCCCUUGUAUACUUAUCAUUUGGUUUUUUUUAAGGAUAAUAUAGUUUUUAUACUAUGUUUUUAAAAUGUAAAAAGACCAAAUCUUUCUAUGCAAUCUUUUAAAAUUUUUUAGCUUUUAGAAUAAUCAUUAUAUUGUGAGUCUAAAAUAUAUAAAAAAACUUAAUUGUAUCCAAUUAAUCUUAAUAAACCUUAAAAAAAACACCAUUUUAUCCCCAAUACUAAGGCUAUUAAAUUUUUUGAAAGGACAAAAUGAUAAUUAUAAUAGUAAUUUAUAUUUAGGUGCACUGUAAAUUCUACAUGCAUUUUAAGGUUUUUUUCUUUUCUUUUUCUUUUUGUAAUGAUAGGAAAUUAUGAAGAAAAAAACAGAGAAAUUCCACACAAAAAAAAAAACCACUCGUAACCGGGACCUACAACAAGCAAAUAUGUACUUUGAUAGUCAAAUUAUGAAAUUGUUCUUUUUAUUAAUUAAGAAUGUGUUUGCCUUGUGUUUUAACUGGAAUUUUUUAAAAUUUAAAAUUUUAAUUUGACUUUGAAUUAAAAUUUUUUAUAUUUUUAAAUCAUUUUAAUCAUAUUAAACAUAAAUUUUUAAAAAUAAAAAUAUAUAUUAUUUUAAUAUAUUUUUUAAAAAAUACUUUUCAAAACCAACUUUAUACAUUCGAGUCUCACAAAUUUUAAAAUCAUUAAAGGUUUACAUGAUCAUUAAUUUUAAAGUUUAUAAAAUUAAUCGAAAUACACUUAAUCAAACAUCCAUAUUAAUAAUAAUAAUAAAAAUAUAUCAUAUAUAAAGCGUUAUUUUUCAUGUCAGAAUGUUUGGUCUCUCUCUCUCUUUCUUCACUAGAAAGCGUACACGCAUGACUACAAAAAAGUCACCUUCUGAUCUUUCAGAUUUUGGGCUCUUCCAUGUACGUUUCCACAAGUUUUGGGGUUCCCAGAAAAUUUCCUCUCUCUCCUUCCACAAAUUUGUACUUUCAGUUUUGUUGAUAGCGCAACGGAGAAACACUGAUUCCCAUAUGCUUGGUGCCUUGCAACCUGACGAGUGGCUGAGAGCUUCAUGUGUCCGAUUCCAGGUGAGUUUGCAAUGAACUCAACACAACCCUCCUCCUCCCUCCAUUGAUGCUGCGCUUGAUCAUUACUUAGUUUACAUGAUUACAUGUUUGUGUUGUGUGUGUUGGCAACGAAGAUUGAUCUCCUUUUUCUCUAAUUUCUUGAACUCUUAGAGAUUAUAGACUUCAAAGAUACACGCAACUUACAAUGUUUAUUCACUAGUAAAUAUAUUUUUAAAUUUCAUCUAACAGCUUGAAUUAUUGUGUUAAAUUGAUUAUUUGAUAUGAUAUCAGAGUUUUAAUGAUCAAACGAUCACAAAAAUCAUAUCUUGUGAUCUUACUUAACAUUUUAAAUUAUUGAAUUAAAUUAUUUCUUUUGACAUCCACGUCUUAAAGGUGUCUUUAUUAUUUCGCAAUUCUUUUCCCUUUCCAUGUUCAUCUCUUGCUUCAUGAAACAUGAACGAGUUUCUUGUCUAGAUACCUAGCUAGAGUAGAGAAUUAUUAAUAAUAUGCUCUGUGUGUUCCUGUUGUAUCAACUUCUCCAUUUUUCCAGUGCUGUGAAGAAUAAAUAUAGAGAAAAGAGAGGUAGAUAGAGGAUGGCGUAUAGAAAGCUAGCUAGCUACUACCUCCAUUGAAUUUCAUAGAUUAAUUUGUGGAGCUACGUUAAAGGCAACAAUAAAACAUGCAUCAUCGACCUAAACAGAGUCCACCCACGAGUCAAAUACACGCACUCACACACAUGCAUCAACCUCACAUGCGUAGUAAAAUCCAUCUACCUUUCAUAAUAUAUUGUGUUGCCGAAAACGACAGUACACUCCUAACCCUUUUUUGUAUCUUUCUUCUUGCUUUCUCUACACCAAAAAGCUACACCAUAUAAACCUUUGUCCUCGAGACUAUUUCCCAAUUGCAAAAAAAUCUGGAUUUUUCUUUUUUACUGAAAAAGUAAAGAUAUUUGAGUGUCUCCGACAUUGGUCAUGUUUGUUUUUGCGUUUUAAAAGUAUUUUUAAAAAAAAUUAAAAUUUUUUAUUUACUUUAAAUUAAUAAUUUUUGAUAUUUUUAGAUCAUUUUGAUGCGCUGAUUUUAAAAAUAUUUUUUAAAAAAUAAAAAAAAAUAUUUUUAUACAUUUAUAAAUGAAAAACACUUUGAAAAACAACCGCAACCACACUUUUAAACAGAUAUUAAAUAUCUUCAAUGGUAAUUUUUUUUAAAUUUCACCUUGGAUCUAUAUUGUAACAAGUUUCUUUGCCAAAAAAAAAAGUAAUUAAUUUGGUUUUUUUUAUUAGAUAACUUAACAAAAUUAUUCAAUAAGAUCUCUAAUUGUUUUAGUUAUGAUAAGAUAAAUGACUUACUAAAUUUUAUAGUAGAUUAAGUAUUUUUUUUAAUUAUUAAUAUAAAUAUUUGGAUGAAGUUACAUGCCGUUAACUUCUUUAUAAAGUUAUAAAUAAGGAAAUUAAAAGCAAAUUACAAAACAAAACAAGGUGAGAGUUGUGGUGGGAUCUCUGGCUACAGUAAUUGAUUUGCCCGUGCUCGUUCCACUACAGGAAUGGAUUCAAAGUGUCUAAUAGCGUUGUUGUGAUAAAGUUUUUCUUUUUCCUUAUCUUUUUUAUCACCCGAUUUUGAUUUGACAAAAAAAAAAUGCAAGAUGCUUUUUUAUUUUUUAAAUCUCCUUUUCUUCUUCUUAGAAUCUCUCUAAUAAUACAUGUUAACACACUAAACAUAUCACAGGAUACAUAAACCUUGUCGAAUUCAAUUUCUUUUUUACUAUCCAAGUGCGUAAAAAAAUGAAUAAAAUUUAAGAAAAAAUUCAAAAAAAGUUAUUACAAAGAACUUUAAACAAACAACGACUACUAACACAAAAAACUAUAAUUUCAGUACUUGAAAACAAGUAAAAAUAUUCUAAAUUAAUUUCUUCUAAUAAUUUUUUUUUUAAUCUAAAAACAACUAGGACAGACAUCACAAACAUAUCUAUAAUUGAUCUACUUUAUUUAAUUGAAAUUCAUAAAUAUUAAGAGAAAAAAAAAUAUAAAGUUCAAAAAUAGGGUACGUUGCUGAGCUUGGAUGGAUCAAUGCACCAGACCCAUUAAAAAAGCAGGCACUGGGGAUCCUAGCUAGGCAAGAAUGCUUGACCUUUUUUUUUUUUUCAUGGACUCAAGGGGCCUUCAAUUAUGAAAAAUAAUAAAAACAAACAAUGUAUCAUUUGUAUUUUCCAAAUCUAACCACCGCAAAGGUAGUUGGAAAAACAAGAAGUGAGUUUUUUAACAAAAAAAAAAAUUAAAAUUAUUCUAACCUGAGAACACCUAAAAAAACAACUUUAAGACUUUUAAAAACAAAUUUCUCAACCUCAAAAACCCGUAAUUUGGUCUAAAAAUAUAGAAUUAAACAACAAAAAAUUUUCUUAAUCAUGAUCUGUUGUUUCUAGUAGAAUAUAGAGUAAAAAAAUAUCUCGAUAGAACUCAUCUUGUUAAGAGAAAACUCAUAAAUACUAAAAACAAGUUGUUUUGUUGUCGGAAUAUAUACUAUCAAUAAUUUCUUUUAUCAUGUUUUGUGGCGAUAUUCUCUCAAGUCUUUUGUCAAACCAAGAGCUUAAACAUAAUUGAAUGAAGAUUUAGACCAAAACGUAUAAUUAUCAAACUAAAAGGAUCAAAAUAUAAUUUGAUAAAAAAUAAAGGCAUAACUCUUCAAAAAGGCUCUAAUUGCACAUUGGUGGAGAGGGAAAGGUAUGCAUGUUUUUAUUUUAAACUCAAUUCCAGUCGUUUAACUUUUAUUUUUUAAAAAAAUAAAAACAUUCGGUCAAAAACAUUUAUCUAGAUGAAUCAAUUAUUACACUUAUGUAAAGCAUCAAAACAUCACUGGAAAGUAAUUUUAUACUCGUUGAAAUGAUCAUGGAGGUCCUAAAGUUGAAUGUUCAUCGAAUAAAAUUCUAAUUAAUGGUUUGGAUUGAUAAAUAAAGAAGUUUGCUCUGUUUCUUAGCUCUUUAAAUUCAAGAUUUGAGAUCAAUAUAGAUUACUCUAUCGAAUGUAUAAUAUCAAUAUAAAUCUUUGCAGUCUACGGUGACAAAACAAUUUCUUCUAGUUAUUAGAUGUCAAGUUUUGCAGUGUUCGUGGGAUAAUCUAGGAGAUAAAAUUAUAUUGUAUCUGUGAUCAUGUCCUCAAUCAUAAGAACAACGAUCUUGGCCUAUAUGAUGGUGUUCUCUCUUUUAAAUCUUUCUAGGGCUAGGCUAGACAUGGUUUCUGUUUUUCUGGUUAUUUCUCCAUCCUAUAACUCCUGGUGAUUUCUUAAAAAACCAUAAAUCCUGAGGGAUUUCAUGCUUGAAUUGUUCCUGAACCUUCGUCUAAAGAGCUAACCCUAGAUGGUACGUGAAGGCAAGAUGCUAUUCAUAAAACAAUUAGUAUCAGGAAUUUCAGAUAGUGGUAAUGGUAUAUGGUUCUGGAAUACCCUCCACUAAGGCUAGUUUCCAUCUUAAAAGCUUUCUUUGUGUACACAUACAAGUUUCUAUAUGUACAUAUAGUGUGUAUGUGUGUAUACAGUUUCCAUCGUUUCCAUCUUAAAAGCAUCCUUUUUAUACAGAUACAAAUUUUUAUAUGUGUGUGUGUUAGUAGAAAUUUGUACAUAUAUGUGUCUAGUAAUACGAUUCAAAGUGUUUUUCAAAUCUAAAACGAUAUUAAAUUGAUGAUUUUAUGUGUUUUUAGAUGAUUUUGAUAUGUUAUUGUAAAAAAUCUUAAAAAAUAUUAAUUUGAUGUAUUUUUAAUUAAAAAAUACAUUGCACCGCGUUACCAAGCACAUGCUUAGAUAGUGUUUGUAGGUGUUGUAACAGUUACUUCUCAAAGUGUUUUUCAUUUUUCAGUAUAUCCAAACAAUUAAAAAAACAUCAAUAAAUAAUCAAUUUCAAGCAAUACGAAUUUAAAAAAUCACAAAACAUGAUUUCAACUAUAAAAACAAACACCCCACUUAUUAAUGAAUAGUGAAGGAAAGUCUAUGCAUGUACUACGGCUACAUAAUGCAGUACAUAUAAAACUAUAGAAUGGUAUUACAUCCUUUUUAUGAAAUUAGACAUGGAUAUUUCAGCUAAAUUUUAAGAAGGCGCAUGCACGCACCACGGCUACAAAAGUUAAAAUACGGUACUAUAAACAUUUAAAAUGGUAGUGUAGGACUACCAGUUAAUAAUUAGUAGUAUAUUUUCACACAGAAAUAUUUUCCUAUCAUGCUUAUUAAUCAUGUGAAAAUAGAUGUGAAUGUCUACUCCAAAUUCCUCUAACAUUGUUGAUGAAUCAUUUCCCAAGUCGAAAAGCUUCCUUUUGCUCUUUAUUUCCCCUUUAUUUAUGCCUUUUAAAGGCUAAAUAUCCAAAACUACCUUAAAUUUUAGGUCAAACCAAACUUAGUUUUUUAAAUUUAUUUUUUUAUUCGAGAACAUAAACUAUUUUUUUUUGUUAAAAAUAAGCCUUUUGUGUCCAAGUUUUCAUCCCUUCAUUAAUCCUUUUAUUUUUUAUUCUUAAAUCAUGUAUUUUCAUGACACAUUUUGUGUUUUUAGAUUAUCACAUGCACUCAAAAUUAAUAAAAAAAGGCUUAUUUUUUAUAUAAAAAAUAGUUUAAAGUAUUCAAAUAAUAAUAAAAAAAAGUUCGAGGGUUUUUAUUUUUUCAUUUAACCUCUUUUAAAUUGCCUCGAAACGUUGCGAAAGCUUCUUUUUCCAAUGCAAAGUGUUCUUUUACAUUUUAACCACAGAUUUAAACUAUGGUUUCUUAUAUCAGCUCCCUUUGUCUAUGUCUUUGUCGUCUAUUCUGAGCGCCAACAAAAACAUUAAUGUAAUUAUAGAUGUUCUUGUUUAUAUAUGUUGUAUUAGUAAAUACAUUUUCUCGUAUUAAUUACCUUUUCACUAACAUAUCGAUAUAAGAAUUAGCUGUCAUAAUUAGGAGUCUGAUCCACAGACUUUCCGAAUGAACUAAAGAGAAUAGGGUUUGUGUGUGUAAGAGAGGGAGAUUGAACCGCAUACAUUUCAUAAUUUGCAAGACGUAGAACACUAAUUUGACCUUGGCUAGUAUGGAACAAAGUUCAUAUACAGCAAUGCAUAGAGUACGCGAUACAUUUUACCUUAAACAAUCAUCACACGUAGAAUUUCGAGAAGCAAGAAUAUUGUUAUAAGCACACUGAAUUACUGGAACAACACAAUACAAUUACAUGAUACAUACCGUUAAUCACACCCGUUUGAUUUUCUUUAAGCACUUGUGGUGCAGGAUUGAGUUCAAACUGGAAGACGAUUUGAAGCCCCACCCACGCCCUUGUCACCUAAGGCUGCCAUUGGAGGCGAGACUUCAGCUUCCCAAACGUUU